GUAGCCAUUUGGUCACAAACACUGGCCAAAGUUAGCGUUAGUAUUUGUUUGUGUAAAAAAUGCAAAAAACGCCAAUUUUGGCCAGUGUUUGUGACUAAGUGGCUAC
rnacentral:miRNA from 1 species